UCCGCCUGGGUCCGUGGUUGCGUCGCAGGGAGGUCCGCACUGCGGGCAUCCGAGCGGCAAGCCGAUGCCAGUCGCAGGCGAAACGGUCCACGUAACCCUGGAGACAGGGGAUCACGGUGCGGCUUAGAGAUAAGUCCUGCCCCUGCCCUCCCGUCAGAUACGGGAACCAGCAGGGAGAAGGUGGAGUGGCACCAAGCUGCUAAGCCUCUGCAGGCGGUUGUGGGGUCGAAGACCAGGUCGGCCGGGCGGA
rnacentral:ncRNA from 1 species